AGGGUUUCCCAUCAUGUUCAGACCGCAGCAGUGCAACAGAGACGCGCUGACAGACCUCGACCGCAGCGUUCGCUCACACAAGAGUGGCUCGUAACCUCGGAGGAGGUGUUUCUACCCGGGAUUUUACUGCGCUCACCUGGGAAACUGGUCCCCGUGAAGCCGGAAACCGACUCUGUACUGUAACUCUGUCCAGGUACGAAGUUAAGUAGGUAAGAGACACAGCACAGUGACAAGGUGAACACAUUUAUUUAUUUUUCUCCAAAGCAACUUCCAAUGAUCUCUAUGUAGUGUUAUCAGCCCACACACCUUAUUCACCGCAGUGACUUACACUGCUAGAUACACUACUUGCACUGGGUCACUCAUCCCUAAAUCAGUGGAAAACACACUCUCUCUGUAUCACUCACACACUAUGAGUGAACCUGAACAGCAUGUCUUUGGGCUGUGGGAGGAAACCAGAGCACCCAGAUAACUUGCAAACUCCACCCAGACUGAGCGGGGAUUAAACCCACUUCCUCUCACACCACCCAGGGGCCCUGAGACAGCAGCGCUACUCGCUGUGCCACCCAGGGAGUAACAGAGGACAGCUGCUGGCAGGUGAGAGUGGGGACGCGUCCACCUGCCCUUCACUUGUCUCCUCGGAGGCUCGCACCUGCGCCGGGGCCCCUGAUGACUAUCGGAGCCGAAGCCAGCGGACCGUGUCCCUCUCUCUUCUUCAGGGCCCUCAGCUCUGAGCGACGCUCCCCAGCACCUCCUUCUUUACCACACCUCCAAAACGAUGAAGGAGCAAAGCACGAAGUCCAUGCAGAGCGUCCAGCUGGCAGGAAGAACAGCACCACUUCAAACGACAGGGGAGAGAGAGGAGAUGACAGGGGCGAGCGUGCGGACAUGACAGCCGAGAGAGGAGGCGGGGGGUCCGGAAGGUGGGGGGGGGCUCUUUCACAUGGUUACUCCUUUGAGCCUCGGGGUAAACGCAGUGGAAACGUACGACAGAAGAUCUCCCAUCUGCAACUUGUAAAGCCACGACUCAGAGGUUUCAGCCUUGUCAUACCUGCUGCUCAUCUGCGUGCGAGAAGCUUUAAAGUAAAUACAACGUAAUCAAACCCUAGGGAGGGUAUUGUGGUUCCGGGCGGGCAUGUGCCACCCUCACGAGGAUGACUGGUGCCCCCUUCAGGAUUUUCCUGCGUAAUGUGCAGCUUUGACAGACUACGGAAGAAAAAGCACAGCAGUGUAAAUAUUUACAGCCUUUUGUAAUGUCAGAACACAAUGAGCCGUUGCGGUAGAACACAGCAGAUGGCUGUUGUGAAAGAUGCCACAAAGCACACUUGGUAAAAAGAAAACUUCAUCGUUACAGACCAGACAAAGCAAAUUUAUGUGUGUAUGAGUUUCUCCGAAGCGACACGGUACAAAUGGGCACUGAGUGACUCACGGUACCAUCGUUGUCACGGUGUGACUGUUCCAAUAGCUGCUAUGGAUGUGACAUAUGAAUAGGAAAAUAAAAGCAGCAGGUGGUGACGGACUGGCA
rnacentral:lncRNA from 1 species